UGUAAAAGGAAAAAAAAAAAGAAAAAGAAAUAUACGUACAGAUAUAACAAAACACAUUAACAGCAUUGCUUCAUUUCCUUCAAAUCCCUAAUUCCCCUUCUUUGCGAUUUCACAUUCGCACUCCACAACGGCACAAACCACAUGCUGCUGCCGCUGUUGAUUCGUUCAGUGCACCGGGUUAACCCGAUCCGAACCUGAAAUUUGUCUCAAUUUCGGUUUGGUUUGGGUUAGCUUAUGAAAUCCGACCGGGUUGAAAACUGCAACCCAAUCGGUUUUAAUUUUGGUUCGUGUUCAACCCGAACUGAAAUAAAAACUUGAUCGGGUUAGCCUAAAAGGAAAAAAAAGAAGAGUCGGACUAUUAGCACCCCUCUAAAAUCCUAUUGAAACCUCUCUUUCAAUUAUAUUUAAUUUAAUACUAAA
rnacentral:lncRNA from 1 species